CCUUCUUGUAUUUGGAGCUCUGUGAAGCAAGAACGACAAUGCUUUGAUUACAACCUCGUAGGUAAACACUUUGCCAUUGACAUCAAGACGGCCGCUUAUUCAUCAAGGAAUCAGGAAAUGGAUUAAACCCUGCUCCCCAUCAAAAGCAAGUCAUCUGUCUUUAAGCAGCAAAACAACAUCUGGAGAAUGUCCAAUCUUCAUCCUCUUGGCUAAUUCUGAAGAAAAGGGGUAUCUUCUAAGAUGUGGUCAAUAUUCCACCCUCAACACAUGGUGGAAUCUUAUUAGAUGGUCAAAACUGCUACAAUUGAUUAUGUAAUUAAACAAGUACGAUGUAUUAAAGGAACGGUUGCUUAUA